CCUCUCCUCAGACCAGACCCCCCAGACCCUCUCCUCAGACCAGACCCCCCAGACCAGACCCCCCAGACCAGACCCUCUCCUCAGACCAGACCCUCACAGCUUGUUCCUCACAGAGAGAAAACUAACUUGAGAUCUCUUCUGCUUCUUCCUGCUCACUCACUGUCUCACUCUCUCUCUGUCUCACUCUCUCUCUGUCUCACUCUCUCGCUGUCUCACUCUCUCUCUGUAUCACUCUCUCUCUGUCUCUCUGUCUCUCGCUCUCUAUCUCUCCUCUCUCGGUUCCUGAAGUACUUCCCGUUCCAACAGUUUGGUGUGUGUGUGUGUGUGUGUGUGUGUGUGUGUGUGUGUGUGUGUGUGUGUGUGUGUGUGUGUGUGUGUGUGUGUGUGUGUGUGUGUGUGUGUGUGUGUUUUGAGAGUGGAUAAGUGUAUGAUUGCAUCAUUAUGCAUGUAACUGUAUUUGUUCAGGAGGUGGCUAAUGACACCACUACCUUAUAAGGGGGAUGUUACCAUACUCUAUCUCUCUCUGUACCUGACUCUAAGAGGUGUGUGUGUGUGUGUGUGUGUGUGUGUGUGUGUGUGUGUGUGUGUGUGUGUGUGUGUGUGUGUGUGUGUGUGUGUGUGUGUGUGUGUGUGUGUGUAUUGUGCGCGAACACUGCAUUCAUAACAUUCGUCUUCACAGAUAUCACGUGCCCGCACUGAGAGAGGCGUUGUCCCGGGUUUUUUUCAACUGCGAGUCAACGGUGUCGCAGCGAAGAGACUUUCUUUGACUUCCUUUCACCUGAUUAACUUGUUUUAGAAACACUCUAACCUCCGUUUCUUCCCUUACAUUUAAACUUUUACAACUUUAUACCGUAUGGACGCAAUAUAAUCCCGGAGUAGAAACGAUAAGUCUACUAUGGAUGAGGA